UGGCUUUACAAUGAAGGACAGAGAAUCUGGGAAAGGCAGUGGUCAGCUCUGUCCUGCAGGAACGCCACAUGCAUUCUGUCAGAACAAAGGGCUACCCUGAGCUUUUAUCUUUAACAUCUGAUUUACAACAGUAUGUGACAGAAUUUAGAGAUUUUUCUAGUUAAAUAAUUAUCUUAAAAGUUGCCCUUCUACAGGUUUUAUAACAAAACAGCACUACCAACUGGUGAGAGAUGGUUCUAAACCAUGAGCCUGUGGGGAGCCUUUCUCAUUCAAAGUCUCACUUCUGGAUUUCAGAACAUUUUCAUUGGGGAUUUACAAAUUAGAGAUUCUCAACCUACAAUAUCAAGAUGUCAUUAGCCAGUGAUGAGUAAAAUCCUGCCUGGGGAAGUGCUUCACUGGGGUGGACUCCAAAGCUGGAUUAGACUGAAGAAUGCUCCGGAAUUGGGAAAGCACAUAGUGUCCAUGAAAGUAUUUCUAGAGAAGAUUGACAUGCGAGUCAGCGAGUUAACUCCCCACCCCCGACCAUGAGAUAGGCUGGCUUUGAACUUCCUAUCAUCCUGCCUUGGGCUUCUAUGUACUGAGAUUACAGUGUAAUUCCUGUGAGUAAACUCAGAUCACCUGGACUGUGUCGCAAGGACCGUUAUCCAUCUGCCAUCUCACUGGCUGCAGAAACCUAUGUUGGAUGCUCAUUAAUUCAAGACAAAGGGAUGAGGGAGACUCUCAGACAUGACUGUGUCCUUGGCCCUGGAAAGAAAAUUGUCAGCAGUGCCACACUAAGAAUGCUAAGGCAAAGAGAAGACUCUCAAAUACAAGAGGCAUAGACAACAUCCUCAGAAACGGAUCGAGGGAAACAUGCAAGGCUGGAAUGCCCGCAGAUCUGCUUCCAGAGGGGUCUGCUUCACUGUAUCUAUAUAACCUGCUCUCAAAUGAAUUCCUAUCUCAAAACCAGAAAUGGUCGCUUAAAUUGAGAGUUCUUCCUCUAAAAA